rnacentral:rRNA from 1 species
CUACGUGCCAGCAGCCGCGGUAAUACGUAUGUCGCAAGCGUUAUCCGGAAUUAUUGGGCAUAAAGGGCAUCUAGGCGGCCAGAUAAGUCUGGGGUGAAAACUUGCGGCUCAACCGCAAGCCUGCCCUGGAAACUAUGUGGCUAGAGUACUGGAGAGGUGGACGGAACUGCACGAGUAGAGGUGAAAUUCGUAGAUAUGUGCAGGAAUGCCGAUGAUGAAGAUAGUUCACUGGACGGUAACUGACGCUGAAGUGCGAAAGCUAGGGGAGCAAACAGGAUUAGAUACCCUGGUAGUCCUAGCUGUAAACGAUGUCGAUUUGGGGGUUGAGCUUUGAGUUUGGCGCCCGUAGCUAACGUGAUAAAUCGACCGCCUGGGGAGUACGGCCGCAAGGUUAAAACUCAAAUGAAUUGACGGGGGCCCGCACAAGCGGUGGAGCAUGUGGUUUAAUUCGAUGCAACGCGAAGAACCUUACCUACUCUUGACAUCCAGAGAACAUUC